rnacentral:rRNA from 1 species
GACGAACCGUGCGAACGUUGUUCGGAAUCACUGGGCUUAAAGGGCGCGUAGGCGGGGUGUCCAGUCUGGGGUGAAAUCCCACGGCUCAACCGUGGAACUGCGUCAGAUACUGCCGACCUCGGGGGAGGUAGUGGCGAGCGGAACUGUGGGUGGAGAGGUGAAAUGCGUUGAUAUCCACAGGAACUCCGGUGCCGAAGGCGGCUCGCUGGACCUCUUCUGACGCUGAGGCACGAAUGCUAGGGGAGCAAACGGG